CCUACGGGGUGCAGCAGUGGGGAAUAUUGGACAAUGGGCGAAAGCCUGAUCCAGCCAUGCCGCGUGUGUGAAGAAGGCCUUCGGUUUGUAAAGCACUUUCAGUGGGGAAGAAAGCCUUGGGGCUAAUACCCUCGAGGAAGGACAUCACCCACAGAAGAAGCACCGGCUAACUCCGUGCCAGCAGCCGCGGUAAUCCGGAGGGUGCGAGCGUUAAUCGGAAUUACUGGGCGUAAAGCGCGCGUAGGCGGUCUGAUAAGCCGGUUGUGAAAGCCCCGGGCUCAACCUGGGAACGGCAUCCGGAACUGUCAGGCUAGAGUGCAGGAGAGGAAGGUAGAAUUCGCGGUGUAGCGGUGAAAUGCGUAGAGAUCGGGAGGAAUACCAGUGGCGAAGGCGGCCUUCUGGACUGAGACUGACGCUGAGGUGCGAAAGCGUGGGUAGCAAACAGGAUUAGAUACCCCGGUAGUC
rnacentral:rRNA from 1 species